CGGACCUGCAGGCCGAGGCGGAGACCCCGGACUGACCGGACCCCCCGGACCCCCAGGGAAAGGGAAAGAGGGACAAAACGGGGAUCCAGGACCACAGGGAAUCCAAGGACCUCCAGGACCAAAGGGACAAACCGGGUCACGAGGAGAACCGGGGUCACCGGGGGACAGAGGAUCAGUAGGAGAGGGAAAAGUGGGACAACAGG